AUUCUUUUGCAGUGGCGAUAUCAUAGCCUAUGAAGUCCAUCUGAGGCGUGAUUAUUGCUGG
rnacentral:snRNA from 8 species